CUACAACAGGAAGCUGUGGGCUGCUCUACUCCAGUGUGGAUUCCCAUUCACAAGUGCUGGGAGGAAGUGAUCUGAUAAAUGGAGGAUUGUCCUUCACCACCUUUUCGUAUUACAGAUAUCUGAAGUUUCACUGGGACCCCUGACAGGCCAGAGCCUAUUUGGCUCUUGUAGCCUUGAGUGCCGUGCAAAGGCACCUCGAGUGCCGUGCAUGGCACUAGUGCCAUAGGUUGCCUACCCCUGACCUAGACGGUGAGUACAGGGGCUGGUGGUCACUCCUCUCCUGC